rnacentral:rRNA from 1 species
UUUGUCUAUUAAUUGUAGACCUGUAUGAAAGGCAAAAUGAGAGCCCAACUGUCUCUUAUAACAAAUCAAUAAAACUGAUCUUCUAGUACAAAAGCUAGAAUACUAACAUAAGACCAGAAGACCCUGUGAAGCUUUAACAAACCCAUUAAAUCUAAUAAUGAUUACUUUCGGUUGGGGCGACCUUGGAAUAAAAAAGAACUUCCAACAUAUGACCUGCUCAUAAAAUAAGGCAAACAAGCCAAUACUAGACCCAGCAUAGCUGAUAAUUGAAAUAAGUUACUCCAGGGAUAACAGCGCUAUCUUCUUUAAGAGCCCAUAUCAAAAAGAAGGUUUACGACCUCGAUGUUGGAUCAGGACAUCCCAGUAAUGCAUCCGUUACUAAAGGUUCGUUUGUUCAA